rnacentral:rRNA from 1 species
UUCCUACGGGGGGCUGCAGGCGCGAAAACUUUACAAUGCGGGAAACCGUGAUAAGGGGACACCGAGUGCCAGCAUCAUAUGCUGGCUGUCCAGAUGUGUAAAAUACAUCUGUUAGCAAGGGCCGGGCAAGACCGGUGCCAGCCGCCGCGGUAACACCGGCGGCCCGAGUGGUGAUCGUGAUUAUUGGGUCUAAAGGGUCCGUAGCCGGUUUGGUCAGUCCUCCGGGAAAUCUGAUAGCUUAACUAUUAGGCUUUCGGGGGAUACUGCCAGACUUGGAACCGGGAGAGGUAAGAGGUACUACAGGGGUAGGAGUGAAAUCUUGUAAUCCCUGUGGGACCACCUGUGGCGAAGGCGUCUUACCAGAACGGGUUCGACGGUGAGGGACGAAAGCUGGGGGCACGAACCGGAUUAGAUACCCGUGUAGUCCGG